GGGCCCGCACAAGCGGAGGAACAUGUGGUUUAAUUCGAUGAUACGCGAGGAACCUUACCUGGGUUUAAAUGUAGAUUGCAUGAGAUGGAAACAUUUCUUUCCUUCGGGACUAUUUACAAGGUGCUGCAUGGUUGUCGUCAGCUCGUGCCGUGAGGUGUCGGGUUAAGUCCCAUAACGAGCGCAACCCCUAUCUUCAGUUGCCAUCGGGUCAAGCCGGGGACUCUGGAGAGACUGCCGCCGUAAGGUGUGAGGAAGGGGGGGAUGACGUCAAAUCAGCACGGCCCUUACAUCCAGGGCUACACACGUGUUACAAUGGCCGGUACAGCGGGACGCGUACACAGCGAUGUGAUGCAAAUCUGUAAAACCGGUCGUAGUUCGGAUUGGAGUCUGUAACCCGACUCCAUGAAGUUGGAUUCGCUAGUAAUCGCGCAUCAGCCAUGGCG
rnacentral:rRNA from 1 species